rnacentral:rRNA from 1 species
AGAGUUUGAUCCUGGCUCAGAACGAACGUUAGCGGCGCGCCUAACACAUGCAAGUCGAACGCGACAGGGGCAACUCUGUUGAGUGGCGCACGGGUGAGUAACACGUAGGUAAUCUCCCCCCGAGUGGUGGAUAACCUUCCGAAAGGAGGGCUAAUACAGCAUAAGACCACGGCUUCGAAAGGAGCUGAGGUCAAAGCGGAGGAUCGCAAGACUUCGCGCUUGGGGAUGAGCCUGCGGCCCAUCAGGUAGUUGGCGGAGUAAAAGCCCACCAAGCCUAAGACGGGUAGCUGGUCUGAGAGGAUGAUCAGCCACACUGGAACUGAGACACGGUCCAGACUCCUACGGGAGGCAGCAGUGGGGAAUCUUGCGCAAUGGACGAAAGUCUGACGCAGCGACGCCGCGUGGGUGAUGAAGGCCUUCGGGUUGUAAAGCCCUGUGGGGAGGGACGAAUAAGUUCCAGCUAAUACCUGGAGCGAUGACGGUACCUCCUUAGCAAGCACCGGCUAACUCUGUGCCAGCAGCCGCGGUAAGACAGAGGGUGCAAACGUUGUUCGGAAUUACUGGGCGUAAAGCGCGUGUAGGCGGCCAUGCAAGUCGGAUGUGAAAGCCCUCGGCUCAACCGGGGAAGUGCACUCGAAACUGCAAGGCUAGAGUCUCGGAGAGGAUCGUGGAAUUCUCGGUGUAGAGGUGAAAUUCGUAGAUAUCGAGAGGAACACCGGUGGCGAAGGCGGCGAUCUGGACGAUGACUGACGCUGAGACGCGAAAGCGUGGGGAGCAAACAGGAUUAGAUACCCUAGUAGUCC